rnacentral:misc_RNA from 1 species
GAAGAUAAAGAUAAAGUUGCCCAAGAAGAACCGGCUAAGGUGAAGGAUGAGCUCUAAAUCUUGUAUCAAUUUUGGGCUUAGUGUACUAAAAGUUACGUCAGAAUAAUCAAAUUAUUUAGUUUUCUUAGACCCUUUGUGGUUAGGGGCCAAAAAGGAAGGUAAUCUUGCAAGUUAGAUGAGUGUCCACUCCAGAAUUACUCGAUUUAACAUUAUUUUGUUAGAUUUCGUCCUUUUUUUUUUUUUGGGGAAAAA